UACGUAGGCAGCGAGCGUUGUUCGGAAUUACUGGGCGUAAAGAGUGCGUAGGCGGUGCUCUAAGUCUGUUGUGAAAUCUCCCGGCUCAACUGGGAGGGUGCGGCGGAAACUGGAGUGCUAGAGUAUGGGAGAGGUAAGCGGAAUUCCUGGUGUAGCGGUGAAAUGCGUAGAUAUCAGGAGGAACACCUGUGGUGUAGACAGCUUACUGGACCAUGACUGACGCUGAGGCACGAAAGCGUGGGUAGCAAACAGG
rnacentral:rRNA from 1 species